AUUAGGGUGGCGGAGUAUGUAUACGCGCAUGAGCUAAGAUCAUGAGAGGGGCAGUGCCCCCCUAAUA
rnacentral:tRNA from 1 species